rnacentral:rRNA from 1 species
AAGCAGUCUGCGGUUAUUACUGUAGAUGGACACGGUUGUUCCCGACUUUAUUGGGGCGUAACCCGAUGCGCUGCUGUUUUUUUAAGUCUGAGUGUGAGAGCUCCCCGGCUCAGCCGGGGGAGGGUUCAUUGGAAACCUGCGAAGACUUGGAGUGCAGCAGAGGCAGAGUGGAACUUCCCAUGUGUAGCGGGUGAAGUGCGUAACAGAUGUUGGAGGAACACCUGUUGUCGAACGCGGGUUCUUAUGCGUCAGGUAUCUGACGCUGAGGCUGAGAGAGCGUGGGGGACAAAACAGGUUUUAGAUACCCUUGGUAGCACACGCCCGUAUACACUGAGGAAUUAAGUGUUGGAGGGUUUCCCCCAUUUAGUCCGGUAGCUAAUGCCUUUAGCACUCCGCCCGGGGAGUUUGCCCGCAAGGUUGAAACUCAAAGGAAUUGACGGGGGCCCCCCCAAGCGGUGGAGCAUGUGGUUUAAUUCGAAGCAACGCGAAGAACCUUACCAGUUCUUGACAUCCUUUGACCACUUUAGAGAUAGAGCUUCCCCUUCGGGGGCAAAGUGACAGGUUGUUCUUGGUCGUCGUCAGUUUGUGUUCUGAGAUCUUGGGUUAAGCCCCCCAAGUAGCGCAACCCUUAUUUUUUGUUGCCAUCAUUCAGUUGGGCACUUUAGCAAGAUUGCCGGUGACAAACCGGAGGAAGGUGGGGAUGACGUCACAUCAUCAUGCCCCUUAUGACCUGGGUUACCCACGUGAUCCAAUGGGAAGUAAAACGAGUUGUGAAGUCGGGGGGCUAAGCUAAUCUCUUAAAGCUUCUCUCAGUUCGGAUUGCAGGCUGCAACUCGCCUGCAGGAAGCCGGAAUCCCUAGUAAUCGCGGAUCAGCCCCCCGCGGUGAAUCCGUUCCCGGGCCUGGUACACACCCCCCGUCCCACCACGAGAGUUUGUAACACCCGAUGUCGGUUGAGGUAACCUCGUGGAGCCAGCGCUCUAUAGCUGGUACCCUCCCCU